AAGAAAGAAUGCAAGAACUGCUAACUCAUGCCUCCGUGCCUGACAGUACGGCUUUCUUAC
rnacentral:tRNA from 1 species